GAAGGAAAAAGUGAGAGAUGAUGGCAAAUCCAAGGAGGACAACAUUUUCCUCUUCCGGUAACCAGAACCACCACCAACUUCCAAUCUCCACCGCCCCAUUUCAGAAUCAGGGAACCCAAAUCUCAAGUUUGAUGAACUCACUCAAAUCCUUCCUCAAGAAACCCCAUGCUUUCCCUUUUCUCCUAUCCCUUUUCCUUUUUCUCACAUGGGUUUCACUCAGAUUCCAACAUCCUUCAACUUCUAACCCUCAACGAGAAGAGUGGCAUGCUAAGGUUCAAUCUGGGUCCGAUCAAAAUGCUAAUCUUGUCAGGUUUUCAGCUUCUUCUUCUUCGAUUGCCAAAGAUAAACGUGGAUGGUUGAUCAAUCCUAUUUCCCUUGCCCUUGAUUCUGCCAUUUCAGGUGGGGCAGCAGUUUGUGCUUCAGUUCAUUUGGGUGAGAUCAGAUCUGGUGGUCUUAGAGGCAACCACAGACACCAUACAUGCAAUGAGACAUUUGUUAUUUGGGGAGCUAAGACAGUAUUCCGGGUGGAAAAUGAUGCGGUAGAAAAAGGUUACGCGGAAGUGAUAAUUGGUGCAGAUGAAGUUGCUGUUGCAGUCAGCCCCCUUGGAACUGCCCAUGCUCUAGUAAAUGUUGAUCCGGGGCGAAGUACAUACUUCAUGGGGUGCCAGGAUAGCGUAAUCAACUACAAUGGCUCAACGACUGAUUUUAAUGUAUGGAAGGAUCUAUAAGUUCCCAUUGUUAUAUUCUCAUGGUUGCGCCAAUAAGGCAACUGAAGUUUAAUGCGUUUGCAUCAGGCUGGUAAUUUUUUCUUGCAGAUGAGGGUUUUGAAGGGUGUGAUUAGUCUAGCUAGUGUAGAUUAGGAAACAGUGUACAUAAGGCAUAGCUGCUAAUCAUUGGCCUUUUUUUGUUCUUUCCCUUUUGGGUUUUAUGACAAAAAGAUGUGAGCUCAGACAUAUAUCUACUGGAUACAGCUUGCCUGUCCGACAGGCUUUA
rnacentral:misc_RNA from 1 species